ensembl:misc_RNA Metazoa_SRP Metazoan signal recognition particle RNA
GUGGGGCUCGGGGGAACGUGUCUGUAGUUGCAGCUACUCAGGAGGCUAAGGUGGGAGGAUGACUUGAGCCCAGGACUUCUGGGCUGUAGGCACUAUAGCCAUCAGAUGUCUGCACUAAGGUGAGCAUUGAUAUGACGACCUCCUGAAAGCCAGAGACCAGCAGGUUGCCUAAGGAGGGGUGAACCAGCCCAGGUUGGAGAUGGAGCAGAUCAGAAUUCCCAUGCUGAUCAGUAGUGGGCUGUGCCUGUGAUAGCCGUUCAGUAGUGGGCUGUGCCUGUGAUAGCCGUUGUACUCCGGCCUGGGAAACACAACAAAACACUGUCUCUU